ensembl:miRNA Mir871 microRNA 871
UGCAGUGCCCUAUUCAGAUUGGUGCCGGUCACAUGAAGUACAUAUGACUGGCACCAUACUGGAUAAUGUAAUGCUCA